GCUCAGGUGGCCUAGUGGUUAGAGCGUUCGACGUGGAUGCGGGAGGUCGUAGGUUCGAAUCCCGGCCCAGUCA